UACGGAGGGUGCAAGCGUUAUCCGGAUUCACUGGGUUUAAAGGGUGCGUAGGAGGGCAGGUAAGUCAGUGGUGGAAUCUCCAAGCUUAACUUGGAAACUGCCGUUGAUACUAUCUGUCUUGAAUAUUGUGGAGGUGAGCGGAAUAUGUCAUGUAGCGGUGAAAUGCUUAGAUAUGACAUAGAACACCAAUUGCGAAGGCAGCUCACUACUCAAUCAUUGACUCUGAGGCACGAAAGCGUGGGGAUCAAACAGG
rnacentral:rRNA from 1 species